rnacentral:rRNA from 1 species
CGGUUUAAUCGGACUCAACGCCGGGAAAACUCACCAGAUAAGACAGCUGAAUGAUAGUCGGGCUGAAGACUCUACUUGACUAGCUGAGAGGAGGUGCAUGGCCGUCGUCAGUUCGUACUGUGAAGCAUCCUGUUAAGUCAGGCAACGAGCGAGACCCACGCCAACAGUUGCCAGCUCGUCCUCCGGGAUGGUGGGGACACUGUUGGGACCGCCUCUGCUAAAGAGGAGGAAGGAAUGGGGCAACGGUAGGUCAGCAUGCCCCGAAUUAUCUGGGCUACACGCGGGCUACAAUGGGUGGGACAAUGGGCAUCGACACCGAAAGGUGAAGGCAAUCUCCUAAACCCAUCCGUAGUUCGGAUUGUGGGCUGCAACUCGCCCACAUGAAGCUGGAAUCUGUAGUAAUCGUGUCUCAAAAUGGCACGGUGAAUAUGUCCCUGCUCCUU